AGCGAACGCUGGCGGCAGGCUUAACACAUGCAAGUCGAGCGGGCACUUUCGGGUGUCAGCGGCGGACGGGUGAGUAACGCGUGGGAACGUGCCCUCUGGUUCGGAAUAACUCAGGGAAACUUGAGCUAAUACCGGAUACGCCCUUUUGGGGAAAGGCUUGCUGCCGGAGGAUCGGCCCGCGUCUGAUUAGCUAGUUGGUGAGGUAACGGCUCACCAAGGCGACGAUCAGUAGCUGGUCUGAGAGGAUGAUCAGCCACACUGGGACUGAGACAGGGCCCAGCCCCCGAGGGGGGAGGGCGGUGGGAAAUAUUAAAAAAGGGCGGCAGAUGUAACCCCCCCAUGCGCGGGAAGUAAGCAAGCCUUUGGGUUUAAAAAGCCUUUUUUCCCGGAACGAAAAUGAGGUUACGGGAUAAAAAAGCCCCGGCUACCUUCGUC
rnacentral:rRNA from 1 species